CUUUGAUGAAGUUUUCGGAUGGAUUUAAAACAGCUUAGUGGCGGACGGGUGAGUAACGCGUGGGUAACCUGCCUCACACUGGGGGAUAACAGUUAGAAAUAGCUGCUAAUACCGCAUAAGCGCACGGUUCCGCAUGGAACAGUGUGAAAAACUCCGGUGGUAUAAGAUGGACCCGCGUUGGAUUAGCUAGUUGGUGAGGUAACGGCCCACCAAAGCGACGAUCAGUAGCCGGCCUGAGAGGGUGAACGGCCACACUGGAACUGAGACACGGUCCAGACUCC
rnacentral:rRNA from 1 species